rnacentral:pre_miRNA from 1 species
CUAACCCAUCAAAUUUAAUGAGUUCAUCAAAUUAAAAGGAUUCAUGGGUUGACUCAACUCAUUUAGCCAAAUGAGUUGAGUCAACCCAUGAACUCAUUUAACUCUAAACUCAUUGGGUAAUGAGU